rnacentral:rRNA from 1 species
GAUGAACGCUGGCGGCGUGCCUAAUACAUGCAAGUCGAGCGAACGGACGAGAAGCUUGCUUUUCUGAUGUUAGCGGCGGACGGGUGAGUAACACGUGGAUAACCUACCUAUAAGACUGGGAUAACUUCGGGAAACCGGAGCUAAUACCGGAUAAUAUUUUGAACCGCAUGGUUCAAAAGUGAAAGACGGUCUUGCUGUCACUUAUAGAUAGAUCCGCGCUGCAUUAGCUAGUUGGUAAGGUAACGGCUUACCAAGGCAACGAUGCAUAGCCGACCUGAGAGGGUGAUCGGCGACACUGGAACUGAGACACGGUCCAGACUCCUACGGGAGGCAGCAGUAGGGAAUCGUACGCAAUGGGCGAAAGCCUGACGGAGCAACGCCGCGUGAGUGAUGAAGGUCUUCGGAUCGUAAAACUCUGUUAUUAGGGAAGAACAUAUGUGUAAGUAACUGUGCACAUCUUGACGGUACCUAAUCAGAAAGCCACGGCUAACUACGUG